rnacentral:rRNA from 1 species
UACGUAGGGGGCAAGCGUUGUCCGGAUUCAUUGGGCGUAAAGAGCGUGUAGGCGGCCAGGUAGGUCGGUUGUGAAAACUGGAGGCUCAACCUUCAGAGGUCGACCGAAACCAUCUGGCUAGAGUCCGGGAGAGGAGAGUGGAAUUCCUGGUGCAGCGGUGAAAUGCGCAGAUAUCAGGAAGAACACCCGUGGCGAAAGCGGCUCUCUGGAACGGUACUGACGCUGAGACGCGAAAGCGUGGGGAGCAAACAGG